UCCGCAGGCGAAGGAGGUGCCCCCGGUGUCCUGGGGGCGGCUGGAAGGACCAACUGGGCCUCUGCCAGGGUCAGGGGUCAAAGGCAAUGUCAAGGGCCUAGGGAAGAAGCCUCCCAGGACUUGCGGACAGCCUGGCCAGAGGGCGUGGCGCGGAGCUCACUCCUGAUAAACCCAGGAUACUGUUUGGCGAAGAGGAAUCUAAAAGUCUGGCUCAAACCUGUGCAGGGAAGCUCCCAAAGAAAUACAAGAAACAAGGACAGCGUGAGGAAGAUGUGAGCUGUACUGGCUGGAGAGGAAGUUCUAGAGGGGAGCCCGCGAGCCAAUCCAUGAGGCCCUCUCUUCCUACAGAGGCCGCGGUGGGCACCACUGGCCACGAGGCUGCCCGCUGCUCUCUCAUCCAGAGAAAUCAAGGCAGCGGGAAGCAGACCCAUCAGUCACCUCCUUCCAGCUAGAGUCUCCCCCCGUGCCAAGAGGGACAAGGAGCUGGAUGACAUUAGAGCUGGCUCAUCUCACGCUUCAUGGGUGACUUCCACAUCCUCCCAGUCUCAGACGGGUCUGAGGAAGAGGCGGUUAAAGUCAGACUCCGUGCUUGUGUGGAUAAGUCGCAAUUUUGAUGGCAAACCGUGAGUUGGAGAGAGAAUUCAUUACAGACACAAGUCAUAGGAGCCCAGAGGAAGCCGGGGCUUGGAGGUGAUGGGAAAGGUGGACGAGGCUAGGUAGUUCACUGGGCCCAUUUUGCGACAGAUAAUAAAGAAACAGU